UAUUUGGAAUCAGUUUUGAAGUAGCCGUCAAAACUAAUUCUAGUUCCCACUGAUAGCUUCCAAUAAUCUCCACUGCCUUAUCAAAUUGUUUGGUUCAACAGAAUAAUUCAAUUUCAAUGCAACUUUUGUUUUUUCUUCUUGUUUAUAUGCUUCUUCAAUCAAUGAAGAGUGUUCUUAUGGCAUGAUCAUUUUGCGGUUUUGGAGAGUUUCGUAUUUGAUUUUGUGGGGAAGGUUCUAGUGUUGAAAGGUUACCAUUUGGGUUCUGGGUUUUGUUCUAGAGCUUGAAAUUUUUGGUGGGUGGUGGAGAUUGAAAUGAAUAUGGAGUUGGAGGAAGGAGAGGCUUUCUUUUAUGAUGAUGAGGACAACAUUGACCUUGAUUCUCUCUCUUACAUUGUAAGGGCUUAGUUGAAUUUAGUUUUAACCAAAUUCAAUUCUUUUUUACGUUUUCGAAUUUGGUUUGGUUACCAAGGUUCUAAAUUGCUGCCACAACGUUAUGGUUUUGACCGGUCGCAACUGGAUUACUUUCAUAGUGCAGCCACAUCGGCUGCAUUUCC